GGCGAACGCUGGCGGCGUGCUUAACACAUGCAAGUCGAGCGGUAAGGCCCUUUCGGGGGUACACGAGCGGCGAACGGGUGAGUAACACGUGGGUGACCUGCCCUUAGCUCUGGGAUAAGCCUGGGAAACUGGGUCUAAUACCGGAUAUGACUCCAUAACGCAUGUUGUGGGGUGGAAAGCCUUGUGCGGCUAGGGAUGGGCCCGCGGCCUAUCAGCUUGUUGGUGGGGUGAUGGCCACCAAGGCGACGACGGGUAGCCGGCCUGAGAGGGCGACCGGCCACACUGGGACUGAGACACGGCCCAGACUCCUACGGGAGGCAGCAGGUGGGGAAUCUUGCGCAAUGGGCGAAAGCCUGACGCAGCGACGCCGCGGUGGGGAUGA
rnacentral:rRNA from 1 species